AGGGUGUAAACGCUGCAGACUUGGUGUUGGAGGCCCUUUGGGGGCAUUCAGUGCCGGAGAGAAGUUGUUAAGUCUGCUACUUGGGGAGUACGUCCGCAAGGAUGAAACUUAAAGGAAUUGGCGGGGGAGCACCGCAACGGGAGGAGCGUGCGGUUUAAUUGGAUUUCAACACCGUAAAACUCACCAGGGAAGACUGUUACAUGAAGGCCGAGAUGAAGACUCUGCUAGAUUUUCAGAGAGGAGGUGCAUGGCGUCAGUGACU
rnacentral:rRNA from 1 species